rnacentral:tmRNA from 1 species
GGGGGCGUAAAGGUUUCGACGGGGGGAGGGAGGCCUGGGCAGCGGGUAGCAGCGGGGGAACUGCUCUAUAACUCCUCCAAAAAAUUAACUGACAACAAUAAUUAUCAGUUGCUCGCAGCCUGAGUGCUGCGCGUUCCGCCCACUCUUGUGUCGUGUGGGGCCGGGGCGGUUGUAGAUCGCCUGCACCCGGAGACACCUGCGCUGAACUCUUUUCGGACAUGGGUUCGACUCCCAUCGCCUCCACCA